GAUGGGGGACAAUUUUCAAAUGUCAUUCACUUGAUGGAUGUGGAAGGGAAGCAGCAGGAGGUGAGGACGCCCCACCAGAAAGAAGCUGCCGCCUUGCUGUCAAAUUGUUAUUUUACCGCUUUGAGCUAGAACUGUAAUCCUGAGGUGCAGUGAUGAUGCAGUGAGAUGCUGUGAUGCUAUAUAGUUGCCAGAAGGACUAAUGUAUUCAUGGAGUCAUCCAGACAUACAAAUUAUAAGUGAAGCCCAGCAACUGGAAGAGACCACAAACCCUCCUGAGCGGGAAGUGUCUUGCAUGUUCCCAGGUUUGCUGGAAAUUCCAAGGACCACUGUAAUGCAAGUAAUGUAAAGCAACAUUUGGUCCAUGUUACUGCAAGAAGAGAUUGAAAAUGAAAAGGAAGACAUUAGGCUGGGGAGAACAUCAACAAGCAUCAGAUGAAGUUAUCAUCCAGGUUGGCUGUUAGCCAAGCUGCUGCAAGCCUGGUUGGAGUCUGCCUUAUGAAAUGCCACUUCCAGCAAAGUUAGAACCUGCCUGUGAACAUAGCAGGGCUGGAAAUGAGAAAGCUUUGAGCCAUCAGGGGGAUGAACUUUUGGAAGAGCCUUUUAUCAGGAUUCACUGAAGCAUACAGCCUUGUUUUAAGGUAAAGGGUUUUUUUUUCAGACUAUGAUAAGGUGAUGUGAUAUGUACCUGCAGUAUAAAGGGACUGUGCACUGUG